UUUAUUAGUUUGCUAAUUAUGUCUUAGGGUUGGUUAGAUUUAAUUACAUGCACUUAGGUGGUUAGAUUAGGUUAGAACACUUAAAUUAGUGACUUGAGGAUGCAUGUUAGGUGGUUAGACUUAGCUAUGAGCAAGUAGAAAUGUUUGGUUAUUUAUUGAAUGUAUCUCGGGAUUUUUCCCGACCCGUUUCGGGCUCCAAUAAGGCAAUAUAGGCCUAAAUUGGAUUUUUAAUGUUUAUUUAUUUAUUUUUCGAAAUUAAUUAUUUAAUUAAUUAUUUUUCCGGAAAUUCAACCGGGAUGGCCGGUGACCGGAAUUUCGUGCCGAUUGUCGUGGUGCAGACCGUUUAUUUAUUUGAGCUCUACGUUGUGUGGAAUUGAAUUUAUUGUGGAAUGUUAGG
rnacentral:lncRNA from 1 species